rnacentral:rRNA from 1 species
GACGAACGCUGGCGGCGUGCUUAACACAUGCAAGUCGAACGGAAAGGCCCCUUUGGGGGUACUCGAGUGGCGAACGGGUGAGUAACACGUGAGUAACCUGCCCUAGUCAUCGGGAUAACUCCAGGAAACUGGGGCUAAUACCGGAUAGGAAUCAUUGCUGCAUGGAGGGGGUUGGAAAGAUUCGGCGGAAUUGGAUGGACUUGCGGCGUAUUAGCUUGUUGGUGGGGUAGUGGCUUACCAAGGCGUUGACGGGUAGCCGGCCUGAGAGGGCGACCGGCCACAUUGGGCCUGAGAUACGGCCCAGACUCCUACGGGAGGCAGCAGUGGGGAAUGUUGCCCAAUGGGCGGCAGCCUGAUGCAGCAACGCCGCGUGCGGGAUGACGGCCUUCGGGUUGUAAGCCGCUUUCAGCAGGGGCGAAGCGUGUGGUGACGGUACCUGCAGAAGAAGCACCGGCUAACUACGUG